rnacentral:rRNA from 1 species
GAUCAUGGAUCCGCUGUAAGCACGAAGAUAGGACAUAAAAAGAAUAGGCCAAGGUGGAGGCCGUGAGUUGGAAAGAGAUGGGUUACAUUCUGUUUUCAAAGAACACCAACAACCACACGAACCCUCUCAUGAAAUAGAAGGUGGAAGGUGGAUUUAGUAGUAAACCAAGAACAGAGAGCUAGUGAGUAGUCUACUACGGCC